rnacentral:ribozyme from 1 species
AUAACCGCACCUUAAUGCCUGUUAUGUCGUAAUGCAGCCGUUGCCACGUGCCAAGUCGUGGAUUAGAAAUGCAGAGGCGGAA